UGUUUACAUGGUUGAGAUAAGAUUUACACAUCUAGAGGAGGAAAAUUAGUGACAAGUCACCUCAUGAUCAGAAAGAAUGAGCCCAGGUAUGAGACUGGAGUUGGUCUUAUUGCAGGUGAAUGAGGAGCCUGUGGCCAUCAGGCAAGGGAGUUUCUCACUGGAUGAAGUGAGGUCCUCUCCUCUACACAACGCCAAGUUCUCUAUUUGA
rnacentral:lncRNA from 1 species